UCUAACACUGAGGUUGAGGGUUCAGAAACCCAUAGCCUUUCAGCUGCCAAAAAACAAUAAAGAAAAAGAAAAAGAAAUGAUACACGGAACACAGAAACACAGCUCAGCUCAGCACGGCUGAGGACAGGAGUGGACAGGGGGUGGCGGGCUGCCCAGGAGAUGUGGUGUCAGAGGUUCAACCCAUUGCCUGUUGCCUGAAUUUGACUCUUGGCGUCUCCUUCUUCCAGCUUCAGACUCUGAAUUUUUUGUGUGUGACUCGUGUACAUGUGUGCAGAUGCACCUAAAGAAGCUUUUGUAUGCUGACAGUUAUUAUAGUGACCAUUUAUGUUAAAAUGUCUCCACAGCAAAAGACUUAAGAACCAUGGUUAUAACGAUGCCGGAGAAAACACUUGCAAUAUGUGAGAAAUGCCCUCACCUGUCCAAUGCCAAAGGAUGGACAUGGAGACA